AAAAUGGGCAAUUAUUGUUGGAAUGGUGAGCUCUAAGGUACCAAACUUGUCAAAAUGUUAUUAUUUGUUGGGAUGCAAGGCCAUGUGAUUCCUCCCAAUUCAUGUCUCCAAUGCAUUCUCUAUUCACCACCCAAUUAGCCCGAGACAGCUCACCAGAUACAGCAUUCGCUCUUUAUAAAUACAGAUUCUAAUGGA